rnacentral:lncRNA from 1 species
GAACAAAGGUUAGUGGCUCAUUGUCACAUGCUGAUCAGCAGCAGACAUCCUGACUGACAGUUACGACCACCCUGUUUACAGAUUGUCCUAUAGAUACUGGGCCCUGGGACAUUUGGAUGGGCAAACAGCAGAUGGCUGAGUAACCUCGCCCUAUUACUGAUUGUCCAUUGUCCCGAGGCAAACACACUCCAACCAUCAAAUUUACAACAGAAUCUCCCCCUUCUGCCCCCCAGCCUGUGUCCUUGGUGGUCUGGACGUUCCUUUGGUUACCUCCAUGCUCUGAGCUCUCCUCCCAGCGCUGGGGGAUCUGGGAGCUGGUGUGGCCCGGCCCGGGCGCCCUUUCCAUCCUGCUCCCUUGCAGGGAUGGGCUGUACCAGAGCCCAGGUUGAGCCUGUGCACUCUGGGGCCUGGCUGAGGACAGCGACUACACAGUGCAGCUCCAGCCCAGGGGACAUCACCGUGGAGGGUCUUGAUGGAGAGCAGCCGCUUCAGACCGGGGAAGUGGUCAUCAUCGUGGUGGUGUUGCUCAUGUGGGCUGCUGUAAUUGGGCUGUUCUGCCGUCAGUAUGACAUCAUCAAGGACAACGACUCCAACAACAACCCCAAAGAGAAAGGGAAAGGGCCGGAGCAGAGUCCUCAGGGAAGGCCAGUAGGGACAAGACAGAAAAAGUCACCAUCCAUCAACACCAUCGAUGUGUGA